AAGCAAGUCUGGUAGUGUCCAUCCCUAGCUGCAUCAUCCAUGCAAGUUUGGUUCAGAUAGGGCUUAUAGAUACUUGGGAAUAAAAAUGCAGGUCAGAUCCAGCAUCCGAAGCAAGUCUGGUAGUGUCCAUCCCUAAAUGCAUCAUCCGUGCAAGUUUAUAUCAACAUUUGAUGUUUGAUAACACCAUCUUGAAUGAUAUGUUUAAAACUUAGCUAAACACUAAUUUAAGAAAAGUGAGGUCAAAGUCAACGGAAAGGUCAAGGUCAAAAAAUGUUGAUGCAGUUGCAUAGCUCUCAUCAAUAUCCAUCAGCAUAUGAAGUUUGAUGAAAAUAAUGGAUAGUUUCUUUGAAACUUAGAUUUGAACAGAGCUAAACACAAAGUGUGACAGAAGACGGAAGGACAGAAGGACGGAAGACGGACAUGACAAACACUAUAUGCCCCGGCCAUAUUCAUGGCGGGGCAUAAUGAAGGUUUAAAAAAAAAGUGUUGUCUAAUAUCUCAUCAUUUAGCAUUUUAAAAUUGAUCUUAAAACAAAAAUAACGAUGUACAUCCUUUUGGAAAAUAUACUCAAACUUACAGCUGCACCCCCACUCCCAUCCCCUUAAAUAACCAACAUGCAAUUGAUUUAUAAUUUUCAAAAAAAUAAAAAUCAAACAACAUAAAUGUACAUUUCAGUUUAAUAAUUAUUUCUCACAUUUAAAAUGAGAUCGCUAAUUAAAAAAGACGAAAACUAUGACUGUUAAUGUAUAGAAAUUCGCCAUGCCGAAUGCAAUGUUCAUAAAAGAUCCUUUUGUCUUAAAGCUGAACACUACUCAUAAACAUAUGUAAUCAGAGAUUACAUAUAGCUCAAUUCAAAAAAUGAUUACUUCAAGUAAGACACGGUCUCACAUUUAACUAAUAAUCAAGAAGUUAAUUUAAGGUUUGCAGUAACUUGAGAA